GACGAACGCUGGCGGCGUGCCUAAUACAUGCAAGUCGAGCGCAGGAAACUGACGGAACUCUUCGGAGGGAAGGCAGUGGAAUGAGCGGCGGACGGGUGAGUAACACGUAAGGAACCUGCCUCAAGGAUUGGGAUAACUCCGAGAAAUCGGAGCUAAUACCGGAUAGUUCAUCGGACCGCAUGGUCCGUUGAUGAAAGGCGCUUCGGCGUCACCUUGAGAUGGCCUUGCGGUGCAUUAGCUAGUUGGUGGGGUAACGGCCCACCAAGGCGACGAUGCAUAGCCGACCUGAGAGGGUGAUCGGCCACACUGGGACUGAGACACGGCCCAGACUCCUACGGGAGGCAGCAGUAGGGAAUCUUCAACAAUGGACGAAAGUCUGAUGGAGCAACGCCGCGUGAGUGAUGAAGGUUUUCGGAUCGUAAAACUCUGUUGUAAGGGAAGAACACGUACGAGAGGGAAUGCUCGUACCUUGACGGUACCUUACGAGAAAGCCACGGCUAACUACGUGCCAGCAGCCGCGGUAAGAC
rnacentral:rRNA from 1 species